GUCCAGCUGAGGACUGUGAUACACAAGCCUCACAAGGCAGUCUCAGGGCCUCAACAGAAGAUAAACCACAUAGAGUUGGUAGUCAAGCCUUCAUCUUUUCUACUAUUAUUGAGUAACAAAAGUGUCACGUUGAUCCUGUUCUCUGGGUCUCAGGAAAUCUUUGAGUUUUAUUUAUGAGAAUUCAUGCUUUAAUAACUCCAGCCUUUAAGUUACCCCAUGGUCACUCCCUGCCUCAUCUUCACUUGGGAGAAAGAGGAGAAGAAAAUCAGCUCUGAGCCUGGACUUGAACUGAAACAUCCUGUAAGCACUGCUAGAAUACUUCCAGGUGAUUUCAGAGGCCUUCAUUCCCCUGUUCUCCACGGCACACGUGUCCACAUCCCUUCACCAUCUUUGCCCCUAAGCUCCCAUCACAGAAGUAUCCAACCUACUUACAUCAACCACAGUUACAUUUGCUGAUUUGAGUUUAUAGUCAGAAUCUUCGCCCUCCAGGAUUCCAAACCACACACAAAAAAAACUAACUAAUUAAUAAAAGUUAAUUGCCUUGAAUUUUGCCUUGGUGA
rnacentral:lncRNA from 1 species